CUACAACUUAUUGCAAUUACAAAUUCCAGUGCGUUGAAACGCCAAGGUCUAGGUACGGGUUUAUACAAACAAAUGGGCCAUGGGCCCACGUUAUCUUGGACGCUGGAUCAACCAUCUUGGAUGCGGGUCCCACCAUCUUGGAUGCUGGCCCACUAUCUUGGAUGCUGGGCCCACCAUCUUGGAUGCUGGACCCGCCAUCUUGGAUGCUGGACUCGCUACCUUGGAUGCUGGAUCCGCCGUCUUGGAUGCUGGAACCGCCACUUUGGCGUCAUCUGUGAUUGCUGGAGAAACUCACGAUACCUAAAAUAGAAGUACCUAUAGGUUGAAGUCAAUUUGGUGGUUGCGGGAGAAUUUUUUUCUUGGUUUUGGGAUUAGAACCUACGAUAGCUGAACGGGGAGAAAUGGACUUUGACCGGGAACCUUUGGACUUUGAUGGCAAAGAAUGGACUUUGAACUGUUAAUGUACUUUUAACGGGUGACAACCUUUGGAUUUGAACGAUGUUUGUAGAUUUAGUAUCGUCUGACCUUGAAGUUGUAAGUGUGCGCAUGCGGAGGCGCCAUCUUGACGCGUACAACCGAUUGUAGACCGAUUGAGUUGUAUGGUGAAUGUGUUUGUCUUGUACAAUGACGUUUUCGCGUAUGAGGACGCAACUGUGAGUCCGGGACGGAUUAUCGAAGUGAGGGCUGUUUGUGGAGUAAAUUAAGAUGAGUAAAUGUUCUCUAUCUAGAGUAAAUUAAACUUAACGGCUUCAUGGUCCACUUUUUUUCGAUAACGUUGUAUAACAAUUAACAUGUUGUGUAAGUUAUCCCUUCUAUAAAUUGAAAAACUGUAGUUUUUGCACAUUCCAUAAUAUAACCGGAAGUAUGGCUCAUAUAUAAAAUAAAGUUCAAAGUACACCGUC